rnacentral:rRNA from 1 species
GCACAGAGUUAGCCGGUGCUUCUUCUGCGAGUAACGUCACAGUUGACACGUAUUAGGCGCCAACCUUUCCUCCUCGCUGAAAGUGCUUUACAACCCGAAGGCCUUCUUCACACACGCGGCAUGGCUGCAUCAGGGUUUCCCCCAUUGUGCAAUAUUCCCCA